GCUCCAAUAGCUCAGUUGGUAGAGCACCUCAUUCGUAAUGAGGGGGUCAGCAGUUCAAGUCUGCUUUGGAGCACCA
rnacentral:tRNA from 1 species